CUUCAGAUUCUUGGUGGGACCACCUACCAUCGAUCUGGGCUUGCUGAUGGCCACGAGACUAGUGAGGAAGUCUUCGUCGUGCAGCUGGCUGAAAACAUGGGCGUCAUAGGCUACCAUAAUGGAGAUCUCUUC